CCUUGAUUUCCACCUCUGAAGCUGUGGACCAAAAAAAAAGCGACCGAAAAAAAGAAAAAACACAGAAAUAUCAGUUUCGGAGAAGAAAUUUUAAGAAACCAACCGAAUAUGGCGAGCGCUCUCUUGUCGACUUCUCUCUUUCUCCCUUUGCAAAGUAAGCAUUUUCAAGAAAGAGAAGUAGGUGGACUUGUAAGAAACUUCAGAAACCCAUUCUAUGGCAAAGUGUUGUACAAUCAAAACUAUGUGAGAAUGAAAACUACAAGCACCCAUGGAGGCCCUGCCGUGGUCGCAUCAGUGCUUGGAAGGAGGAUCAAGAACAAAGAGACUGUGAUUCCAGACCCAGAUUAUCGCAUACCUGUUGUUUUACUUGCUCUAGCUGGCGGGCUUGCCUAUACAAAUAAUCUGUUGCCAGCUGCACCUAUUGGUCUCCUUGGGUCACUUCUCUUGUUCCAGACUACAAGAGUGAGAUUUGUCUUUGAUGAAGAGGCUCUGGAGGUAAAAGUUGGAGACCAGCUUCAGGAUUCAGGUGAAAAUGUCUUCGUGGGUGGGAAAAACCGUUGGAAGUAUUCGACAUUUGUGAAUUGGGAGCUCUGGUGGCCAAAUUUCCCAAUUUUGGUGUACUUUAAAGAGACACAAACAAAACCUGAUGGACAAGUACACUUUUUUCCAGUGAUUUUUAAUGGGAAGCAACUUUAUGAUGUUAUGGUGGAGAGAGCUGGCCCUUCAAAUACUAGUGGUCCUAAAUAAUCCUAAAGGCAUGAGCUUUCUGCUUCCAACCAUCCUACGUUGCCAUCUCUAGCAAAUAUUUUAGUCUAGCGACUGAGAUUACCGUGACUAAUCAUUGGAGCUACAUUGAGUACAUAUUUUCACUCUUGGACUGUGUUUCAUCAGAUUUUUCAUUAUUGUAAUAACUCAUAUUUUGGCGCGGCUAUAGCCAGCUGAAACUUUUGAUUUUUGUAACGUAUACAGGGGGCAUUGUAUUUGUACCACUACAAUACGUAUAAUCACCCUAAAAAAAGGAAAAGACAAUCUCUUUGUAGUUGCACAAU